ensembl:lncRNA
AAUCCGAAUGGACAAAACAGUACAAAACUGUCAUGGAGCCAGAUCCCAGGGCUGAAUUUCCGAGCCCUGGACCUGGCGUCAUAACAUAAAUAACCCUGAAAGCACCUGGCGGGAGAAGAUAGUAUGAGCCUGGGAACUCAGGGUUGAAAGUAUAAACAAUUAUAAUUGGUAUAGUGUGUGGGAAUAGUAGUAAUGUGAUCCAGAGGGUGGGGUUUGAUGAUGAUAUUUGCGUGUGGUGUUACGUUGCAUCAGAGGUGAUAAAAAUGGAUGUAUGUAAACAUUAGGUCAUUCUCGACUUUUCCAAAGUCAUGUAUUCUUCAAUAAAGAUUGGAUUUGAGAGCAGCUAUCUUUGAUCUGCGUUCAGACUGGUCCUUUGAAGUGAGCCUGACAUUUAAGUUGAGAAUCCCGUUCUCACCCUCCUGCAGAUUCGCAGUGAAGUGAUAAUGAGUGGAGAAGGAGAUCAAAGCCCAAAUGGAGCAGGGGCCCGGCCGUUGGGAGAAGAGACGUUGCAAGCCGUAGCUUCCUCUACGGGGUACCCCAGGCCGAACGGCGUGACUCAGAGGAUUCCCAGAGGAGGAAGAGGCGUCUCUGCGGCUGCAGAAACCAGUUGGGGAUCUGGAGGAAGCAUGCCAGAGACCGUAGCCCUGCGGUUAUCCAUCCUGGAAACUAAUUUAUCCAGGCUGUCGGAAACCGUGGGGAGGUUGGUCCCACUAUUGGAAGAGAAUCUCCAAAAAGAGCCCAUCCGAUAUGGCGCCGAGAGAGAGCCAAGUAAAGAAGGAGAUUGGAGCCAGAGGGGCCAGCGCGCAUCAACGCAGAGUCCCGUGGCGGCGAGGGACGAGGGAGAUGAGGAAUACUGGCGGGAGCUGGAGUUCCGAGACAGAAUGGCCCGCGAAAUGGAGCGCCAGCGAGCUAUGGGAACUCUGAGGCCGCCAACUCCAACAGAACUUCCAACCCCCCGAAUGGGUGUCGGGGUGGAAAGGCCACUGGGGCCAGGGAUCGGGUCCAGUGGAUUAGCAGACGAAGGCGGAGAGGAGCCGGAGAUCCAGGAAGUGGAGGAGGAUGUGCCGUACGACGAGGAAAGGCGAGGUGCGGGGACUACAGCGAGGCCCGCAUUCGGAUGGGUGGAAGGGCCGACAGCAGCGGCAGAAUGUCGGGAGCCGCGCAGAACGACUACCGGAGUGGGGCGCGGCGUGUUCAAAGGGGCCGCCCAAGGAAACCCGAUGCAACCCUUCCCCAUGCCCCCCAGACAGCAUCAACGGGCCGCAGAGUGGAUGCAAAGGAGGGAAGAUCUCAAACUAGAAUACGGAGGGGAAUCAUCUGAAUUGAACUUUUUUCUUAUUAGCAUCAGAGGAUACAUGGAAGAUAAUGCACACACAUUCCCCUCCGAAGCAAGCAUGGUUCGAGCCAUCGGCAACACACUAAAGAGAGGAGCUGCCAGCUGGUAUGUACAACUACAUGCCAGACGCGACCCAUGCCUGAGGUCAGUGCCCCGCUUCCUCGCCGCACUAGAAAACCGGUUCAGAGACCGGCUAGAGCAACUGAGGGCUCGAGACCAGCUUAAAGGAAUAAAGCAGAGGGACAAAACGGUGCCCGAGUACGCAGAGGAAUUCCUCCACCUCGCGGAAAGGGUACCAGAGUGGUCUGAAGUGACCAAAGUGGAGAUAUUUAAAGAGGGACUACGCCCCGAGGUUUUUAGCUGGGCAGCGCACAGAGAUGACCCCGAAACACUCCAGGGCUGGAUCCAACUAGCGGGGCGCGUUGAAUCCACCCUGGCCCAAGUAAAGCGCUUCAGGGGCAGCGGCGGCCAGCAAAGACCGGUGGCGAGAGGUCGAGGAGAAAUGAGGAAGCAAGAAAAGCCCGGAGGGAGGCCGGGGAUCCCCUUCAGAGGAGAUGACAACAAACCCAAACCGGGAUGCUUUGUAUGUGGGAAGACGGGCCAUCGAGCAGCAGAAUGUUGGGCCCGGAAGGGGGAGCCGCCAAAACCCUCAAAGCCCAAGCCAGCAACCGGGAGGCGUGCGGAGGAGGAGGUGCAAGCCCCAAAAUCUUCGGAAAGGCUGGAUUGUGAUGAAAGAAGAACCGAAGAGGAGGAUGAAGAAAACGAGGGCGCCAUGUCAUGGAGCCAGAUCCCAGGGCUGAAUUUCCGAGCCCUGGACCUGGCGUCAUAACAUAAAUAACCCUGAAAGCACCUGGCGGGAGAAGAUAGUAUGAGCCUGGGAACUCAGGGUUGAAAGUAUAAACAAUUAUAAUGUAUAGUGGUGGGAAUAGUAGUAAUGUGAUUCAGAGGGUGGGGUUUGAUGAUGAUAUUUGCGUGUGGGUGUUACGUUGCAUCAGAGGUGAUAAAAAUGGAUGUAUGUAAACAUUAGGUCAUUCUCGACUUUUCCAAAGUCAUGUAUUCUUCAAUAAAGAUUGGAUUUGAGAGCAGCUAUCUUUGAUCUGCGUUCAGACUGGUCCUUUGAAGUGAGCCUGACACAAAACCACAAAAGAAACAGAUCAAACAAGAUUCGGGCUCUACUCUAGUAUACACACUAUUGAAAGCAAUAUUCCAA